CUGACUGAUGCCGUCUCAGGAUGGGGCCUAGCAUUAUAAGGAUGCCCAAAAUGGGUGUCUUCACUACUGUUACUAUUAUUCUUGUUGUUGUUGUUACCCUGUCCUCUGUUUUCUCAGUUCCCCGUGGGUGUCAACAUUUCUUCUGCCUCCACCUGUGUUGGGGGGAAGGUGCCUCCCCAGAGGAAGGGUGGGUUUAUCUACCUCAGGAUGGUCCCCGGGACACUUCUGUCCCCUCCUCGGGGGUUAACAGCACAGGCAGGGGCCCCUUCCCAAACCAUCUCAGACCCCGGUUUGCGUUUUAUUAAUGUCCUGUGCACUCUCUCUGCUCCAAUUUCUGGGGACACCUGAAUCCACUUUGGGAUUCUUCUGUGCUAGCCUUGUGUAGCCCGGGUGACAAACACUUGGAAUUGAAUUCAAGUUAGUCUAUAGCACUAAUCCCUCUCAUUUGAUAGUUAUCCAUGCUUGGAGCCCCCUCCUGUGCCAGCCGCCGUGCUGGAGGUGGGGUCGCGAGGAUAAAGAAGAAGAUGGUGUCCACCUUGUGGCACGCAGAGCCGAGCUGGGGCGCAGACAUCCGUGAGACAGCCUCCCACAGGGAUGGAGCGGCUCACCUGGGGCUCUUAACCAGAGCCCGCCCCCUCUCCGGGAGGUUUUGACUCUGGGGCAAGGAAAGGGCCCAGGAAUCUGCAUUUUUAAAAAGUACUUCACAUGAUUCUUAUUAUCCAGGGUGUUUGGAAACAUUGUCAGAAGGAACAGGAAUGAUAAACAGAGCUCUGCACUGGGAAGGAAAGGAAGCCGAGAGGACCCAUCUGAGAGAUCAGGGGCAGUGGUGAGGACCCCGUCAGCAAGCUCUCUCCGCCACGUGCCGAACCCGUGUGUGGAUCAGUGAGGGAACCGAGGCACAGAGAGGUUAAGUGAGUUGCCCACAGUCACCCAGAGAACGAGCCGCACGCAGUGCCCGCAUUUAAACCCUCAUGCUGACUCCAAGAGAAGGCGAAAGUGUCCAGCUCACCCGUACCGGAAGAGGAAAGGGGUGACAGGGGACAGCAGCCCAGAGCACCUCGGGAAGUGACUGGGGGCAGGGCCGGGACCAGGUCAGGCAAGCGAGGAGCACGAGGUAAG
rnacentral:lncRNA from 1 species